GAACCGGACAAACGUUAUUCGGAAUUAUUGGGCUUAAAGGGUGCGUAGGCGGCGCGGUAAGUGAGGUGUGAAAGCCCUCGGGCUCAACCGUGGAAUUGCGCUUCAUACUGCCGUGCUAGAGGGAGACAGAGGUAAGCGGAACUGAUGGUGGAGCGGUGAAAUGCGUUGAUAUUAUCAGGAACACCGGUGGCGAAGGCGGCUUACUGGGUCUCUUCUGACGCUGAGGCACGAAAGCUAGGGUAGCGAACGGGAUUAGAUACCCCGGUAGUCCUAGCUGUAAACGAUGAGCACUUGGUUGGGGAACCUCCCAUAGUUUCCCGACCGCAGCGAAAGUGUUAAGUGCUCCGCCUGGGGAGUAUGGCCGCAAAGGCUG
rnacentral:rRNA from 1 species